CUCUUAUAUAUUUAUAUUUAACAAAGAAAAAAGUUAUAUGUACCUUAUUGCUAACAAGACCACUUGAAGGAGAAAUAAGACUGUCUCUAAUACGAGUAUGUUGUAUACCAGAGACUUCGUCAACUCUCUGAAUGAUGUUCCAUUCAGUCUUCGGGUGUGUUUCUGUUCCUCUCUAGAAAAAUAAACAUGUAUAUAUUACCUUUAUAAGACAUUAUAAAAUAAAACCUUAUUUACAAAGUUUUAAUAAGUACGUCACAACCAAUAAUAGCUCAAUAAGAGCCAAUAUUGCCAAAAGUAACGAUAUUAUUGUAGAACUCCAUAAAGUCUAAUUUCUAAAACAAUUUAUAGAACCUUAUAAUUAUGAAUGUUAAGGUAAGAGUUUUGAAAAGUAUCUCAAAUACAUUACUACUUCCAGCAAUAGACGAAUCAUGAGUACUGGAAAUUUCAUCUUGUGUCUGCAUCAUGUUUGACAUAAUCAAUGGUGAUUUUUGUGUUCCUCUCUGAAACAUAAAAACAUAAAGCUAGUAAUGAAUUUUGUACCUUGUAUUUUAUAAGGUUCUUAUAAACAUUAAAUAUGACAUAACUACCUGACAUAAAUUUCUACUACCAACCAUAGGCAAAUCAUUAGUAAUUAACACUUCAUCCUGUGUCUGAACCAUAUUUGACACAAUCAUUGGUUAUAUUUGUGUUUUCCCUCUGAAACAUAAAAAGAUAAAGAUAAAUAUAGAAUCAUUUAUAAAGUUUUUAUAAGGCCUUAUAAAUAUAAGAGUUGUAAUAAAUACUUCAAGCGGAUUACUAUUUCCAGCAAUAGGCAAAUCAUGAUUAAUUAAAGCUUCACCCCGUGACUGGAUCAUAUUUGACACAAUCAUUGGUGAUAAUUGAGUUCUUCUCUGAAACAUUAAAAAAAAAAACAUAAAAGCUAAUAGUUAAAAUAUAUGUGGUAAUGAUCCUCCAAAAUGCACAAUUAUUAUUAUAAGGUCUUAUAAAUGUAAAAGUUGUAAUAGAUACUGAUAUGGCAUACUUCCUCAAGCAAUGAGCAAAUCAUUAGUACUACAAACUACCUUAUAAAAUAACUGAUAACUCUAAUAAACAAACAAGUUAGCAAAAUAGUUUCAUGCAGUUACCUUAAUUAAUGGUUACACAUAGAUGAAUGUCUUCAUUCUCUUUAAGUUUGUUUAGAUAAGAUGUUACUUGACGAUCAUUCCUAAUAAAUGCUGCAUGAAGCUCUUUUGUACCAAAGUUUAAUUUUGAAGGUGAGACAUAGCUAAAAUUUACACUGUUUCUGUUGCCAUCAAUUCCAAAGUCUUCUAAAACAGCCACAAUCAAAUCAUUGUAGCUGAUAUCUUCAUGAAUCAUACUAAGAGAGGAUCCUCGUUGAUCAUCCACUAUGAAAUCCCAGUGAAUUCCAUUUAUUAGUUUCCAUUCUCCACAUAUAGAACAUAUUUCGAUCACCGUAACCUGAUUAUAAGAACAUGGGGAUUAGAGAAGGAAUGAUCAACAAGAUAUAUCAAAAAGAAAAAUACAUAACACUAUGUUCCUCAUAGAUAAAAAUUUAUAAGGUUUUAUAAAUCUGAGAUUUGAAAACUUCAUGAGAAAAACUUCGUCUAUUUCCCAGAAACCGAUCGAUUUUGAGAAACCAAGCAAAAAUUACAGAAAAGAGACGAAAAUCACUAUCUAUUAUCCUCUCACCUUUGUUACGCGUUCGUGAAGAGAGAUUGUUCUAUUCGUUUGAGUUUGUAGUCUUCGCCAAAUCUCGUCGGACGUCAACGUCGUUUGAAUAAUCAAAUCUCGCCGGGGAAGUCGCCGGAAUCGUCGAAUCUCUCACCGGAUUCGUCGAAUCUCUCGCCGGAAUCGUCGAAUCUCUCGCCGGAAUCGUCGAAUCUCUCGCCGGAAUCGUCGAAUCUCUCGCCGGAAUCGUCGAAUCUCUCGCCGGAAUUGCCGAAUCUCUCGCCGGAUCGAAUCUCUCUCGCCGGAAUCGUCCAUCAAUUGGGGGAAUUUGAAUUUCAAAAUUCUUAUGUUUGAUUAAAUAAGGGUAUAAUGGUACUUUAGCCAUUAAAAUUUUAAUGGUAAAGUUGAAAAGUGGUAUUAGGAAAGUACUAUUAGUGGCAGUUCCCCAUUUAUAUGUGACUCAUCUACUAUAUAUUUACAACUCUCUCUUUCUAACCUACGAACUUCACACUACUCACUAUAUCUUCUGUAAUUAAUUACAAAGACCAUAAAAUAUUAAAGUAGUCCAAAUAAAUUUAUAACGUGAAUACGAAAUAAAGAAUAGUAUUCAUAAUUUUAAGAUAUUUUCAUAACUAGACUAUUAAUUAAUUCAUGAGUUUAAACUUUGGGCAACAAAAAAAUUUUUUUCUAAAAGAAAAACCAACAAAUCUUAAAUAUUAACUAGCAUGAUAUCAGUUUCUUCAUAUUUUGAAAACGUCUCAUUUAGAUAAAAAAAUUGGGUCAUGUUUGAGUCAUACCCUCCAAACUCAAGGUGGGUUCUAUUUUUAAUCGAAUUAACCAAAGUACCCAAUUUAGUUCAGGUAUUUUAUAUCUAAACUAUCCAAACUUACCCCACAAUAACUAAAACCUAAAAAACCUUAGUAGAUAUAGUUUGAAUCGAUUAUUUUUUUAUUCGAGAGUAACCAUGGAUACAAUCUUAUUUGAAUAUAUUGUAUACAAAGCAUCCAUUUCUAAUUUUCUAUCCAUAAAUAUCUAAAAUAACUUAUAUGUUUGAUUUAUGAUUUUAAUAUUAGGUAUUAAUAUUAUUAUAAAUAUAAUUAUAACUAAUGUAUAUAUGUAUAAUAUAUAUGUUCAUAUAUGUACAUAUACUCAUCAGUUUUCGAUACGAGUCAAGUUUGAUAUCGAUUAUUGGUGUUUUGAUAAAUAGACCCGUUUAGAUAUUUAGGCCGGAUACAACCAAGUUCGGUAUCCUAAUUUUUGGUCGAUUUGGGGUCGGUUUUUUGGUGUAGAUAUUAUGUCCAAACCCUAUAUUAGGUUAUCAAAAAUUAAAACACAUAAUUUAUAAUUAAUAAUCCUUUUUGGAAUCGAACAUUUAGAAGAAAAAAAUUUCACGCUUUAAAAGCGGGUCAAAAUCAAAUUACAUGUUAAAUUUGAUGUGCCUUUUUUUCGCCAAACGUUUCAUUAUUAUAUGAAAAGAACCCAAAUAGAUUUUACAACAUUGGUACAUGCUUUUAAUUGAGGCCCAAUAACAAAGAAAUACAUAUUAAAUUAAAAAAACGGAAUACGACCUUUAAUGACUCUCUCUCUUCCCUCUUAAAGAGAGAAAAUUCUCGGGAAUUUCUUUUUCCCUCUUACCACACUAUUCAUCUUCAGAGGGAAAAAAAAUUGUUAGAGGGAGAAAGAACCGUGGUUUUUAGUUUGUAUAAUAGUUUCGAUCGAUGAGAUUGAUCUUUCUUUCCUCAUAUCGGAUUUCAUGUUCGCUGAUUUGUGGUUUCGUUUAGGCGACUUUUGUGGUGUUAUCAACUCAAAACCAAAGAUUUUCUUCAUGGAUUUGUUGUGUUCUUUGAUUCUGGGUUGAGUUCAAUAAAUUUUGCUCUCAUCCUUCUGUUUUAAUGUCUUUUAUCCGUUUAAUCAAGAGAAUUGAUUUCUCUUAUUGUUAGUAAAGCUCGGUUCUUGAUUAUGAUUUGGAAUCAAUCUUCGUUUUAUAUCAAGCGAAGUAUGCAAGAUGAUCAAAGAUCGGAGGUGUGGAUUAUGCUUUGAAGAUUCAGUGCAGAGCUUAGAAGAGUUGGAGGUGCCCAGGGGUUAGUGUUCCAGCAGGGUUCUGUUUUCGUUUCACUUCUUAAGCUUUUUAUUUGGAUCAAUAUCUACAGAUUGGAGAUACAGUUCUUGUUGGUUGGCAAUGAUUGAAGCUUUGAAGAGCAAGCAAGCAGCUUCAAACGAAUCGGGAGAUGGAGACUGGUGGUUGUUCCGGCAGAGACUUCCGACAUCUUGAUUCACGAAAUAGCGGGCCCACGUGCAAGCACGUGUCCUACAUACCUUAUAAUCAAGGACGAGGUGGUGUUUUUUUUCUGACGAUAAUGGCGAGUUCAGGGAGACGCUUUGAGUUGAAUUGGUUGAGAGAUAAGCAUGUGGGACUUGGAGUUAGGUCAAGGUGAUCGCGAUUAUAGCGGAGGAUGGUGUUGUAGGGUUCUGAAUCCUGAAGAAAGAGGCGCUUUCAUCAAUUUUCGUACUUAAAAUUGGUUUGUGUUAUAUCUAUUGAUAUUUCCAAUUAAAUCUAUUCAAUCUUCUCUAUUUUUGAUCACCUCUUUUCCUUUUUUGUUUUGAACAUGAAACUCGGUUGGAGAUUCAUGUCGGAGAAGGGAUAAAGUAAACAUGUAAAUAGCAAAGGGGUUUGUUCUAAAAUUUAACUCGCAGCUUCUUA